AAUGAACGCUGGCGGCAGGCUUAACACAUGCAAGUCGAACGGAAACGAUGAAAAGCUUGCUUUUCAGGCGUCGAGUGGCGGACGGGUGAGUAACGCGUGGGAAUCUACCCAAUAGUCGGGGACAACAUAUGGAAACGUAUGCUAAUACCGGAUGUGAUCUACGGAUUAAAGGAGGCCUCUUCUUGAAAGCUUUCGCUAUUGGAUGAGCCCGCGUGAGAUUAGCUAGUUGGUAAGGUAAGAGCUUACCAAGGCAACGAUCUCUAGCUGGUUUGAGAGGAUGAUCAGCCACACUGGGACUGAGACACGGCCCAGACUCCUACGGGAGGCAGCAGUGGGGAAUAUUGCACAAUGAGGGAAACCUUGAUGCAGCCAUGCCGCGUGUGUGAAGAAGGCCCGAGGGUUGUAAAGCACUUUCAAUUGUGAGGAAGAUAAUGUCGUUAAUAACGGCAUUGUUUGACGUUAACUUUAGA
rnacentral:rRNA from 1 species